UACGUAGGGGGCAAGCGUUGUCCGGAAUCAUUGGGCGUAAAGAGCGCGUAGGCGGUCCGGUAAGUCGGUUGUGAAAACUGGGGGCUCAACCCUCAGAGGCCGACCGAUACUGUCGGGCUAGAGUCCGGAAGAGGCGAGUGGAAUUCCUGGUGUAGCGGUGAAAUGCGCAGAUAUCAGGAGGAACACCAAUGGCGAAGGCAGCUCGCUGGGACGGUACUGACGCUGAGACGCGAAAGCGUGGGGAGCGAACAGG
rnacentral:rRNA from 1 species